AAGAGACACAAUUGCAUUUCACAGUGAAAAACACAAAGCCUCUCCAAUGUAUUCACACACAUUUAGAGCAGAAUUUGAUUCCAAUACUCUAAUCAAUGAACAUCUAGCAAAGUGUGGUGAAUAUUACUGAUGCAGUAAUGGGAAAAUGCUAAAGUAACAGUCUGAAUAGUUUUGUGCAUCCUGAGUUUUCUGAACUAAGACUUUUUUUUUUUUUUUGAGAUGGAGUCUCUCUCUCACUCUGUUGCCCAGGCUGGAGUGCAAUGGCGUGAUCUCAGCUCACUGCAACCUCCAUCUCCCAGCUCCAAGCAAUUCUCCUGCCUCAGCCUCCUGAGUAGCUGGGAUUACAGGCACACACCACCACACCCGGCUAAUUUUUGUAUUUUUAGUAGAGACGGGGUUUCAUCAUAUUGGUCAGGCUGGUCUCGAACUCCUGACCUCAUGAUCCACCCGCCUCGGCCUCCCAAAGUGCUGGGAUUACAGGCAUGAGCCACCGUGCCCGGCGACUUUAUUUUUAAUUAAAAGCAAAACUUACAUUUUCUUUUCUUUCUUUUUUUUUCUUUUCUUUUUCUUUCUUUUUUUUUUUUUUUUUUUUUUUUUGAUGCAGAGUCUCACUCUGACAUCCAGGCUGGAGUGCAGUGGCAUGAUUUUGGCACACUGCAACCCCGGCCUCCCAGGUUCAAGCAAUUCUCCUGCCUCAGUCUCCCUAGUAGCUAGGAUUACAGGUGCCCGCCACCAGGCCUGGCUAAUUCUUAGUAGAGACAGGGUUUCACCAUGUUGUCCAGGCUGAUCUGGAACUCCUGACCUCAGGUGAUCCACCCUCCCCGGCCUCCCAAAGUGCUGGGAUUAUAGGCAUACAGCACCUCGCCCAGCCAAAACUUACAUUUUCAAAAGAAGUUUGCCUCUCCAAAAAAACCAGAUUAGAUAGCUUCUAAACUAUAUUAAAUAAGACCAAAUAAAGAUUUUAAUUAUUAUCAAACAAAAGUGAGUAAUUCGGGGAAACAUCACCUCCACAAAUGUCGAGCCAAUUCAGGUGUUGCUGGUAGAAUCCUAAAGAGUGAUGUCUCUGGUUCCUGUGAACAAUGUCCACAGUCCACACCCCUCGAGGACACAGCUCAGCUCCCACCAAGGGACCAUGGCUGGGAGGAGAGCAACAGAGCGUGAUCCCAAGGCCGCAGUACAGCUAAGGGCUCUCCAGAACCUGGGCAGGAAGCCCUACACUCUGCCCUCCUCACUGGGUGAUGUGGAUGCCUCUGAGCUGCGGCUUUCUCCCUUCUAGUGGAAUAACAAUUGCUGACCUCACAGAGUUGCUCUGAGGAUGAAAGGAGAGCAUACACGCAAAGCACUUAGCAUCAUGCCUGCUAACAGAUCAAUGCACGACUGUUAUUAACUCAGAGCAGUGACAAGGGCGAGAGAAGAUCAGGUAAAUAGGACACACGGUGCAGAGAGUGAGGGAGUGUCAGAGGCAGGGGAGGGCAACACCCAGGCAGCCCUAGCUUCUACCUACCUGGACUAUCCACUUGCAGCCAGGGAAGAAGACCCCAUGGAAGGAGGGGGUGAUGGAGGGGCUCAGAUAUUUGAUAAGAUGGGAGGUCAUCCUUGAUCUGCUUCCCUCCUCCCCUCUCACCUCCAACCCUGCCUGGCCCACUUCUGAGGGUGAUCAGGCAGGGCACACCAUGGGCCAGCGGAGCCUUGGAGGGUUCCAGAGCUGUGCCUCCCACACAGGGGCUAUGCUGGGAGGCAGGAGGUAGGGCUGCAGGUGUGAGGCAAGGCAGCUGGGAUUCCCCCAUCGAUCAGCAGGAACCCAGGCACACCCCACCCCGGUUACCUGGGGGCCACAGGCUGCUCCAUUUGAAGUGUGGGCUCUCUCUGCAGAUAGGCCAGCCGGGCCCUCCCUAGAGGCUAGGCACCUGAGCAGGUAUGGGAUAGGGAUGGGGGUGGGUGCGGGGAUUUGCAGGCUGUCGCUUCUAAAAAUAGAGCCCCGCAGCCUGGGAGCCAGCCAGGUGUGGUUGCCACACAGCCUCCCAAACUGGCUGAUAGGCACAUGUCAAUUCUGGGCCUGCACAGGCACACAAACUCCUUGGCACAGAACCCAGUGGACACUCCUAUCCACCAAAGACAGACACUUGAGUCUGAACACCCAUGUCCUGACUUAGACCUGGCCCUGUUCCUGUACAGGCCCCUUCUCCACAGGCUCUCACCAUCCUCACACUCACUCACACUCCCUGACACUCACAGGCCCUGCAGCCUCCUAGGUCUCCCUGGCUGGGACAUCUGCCUCCUGGGGGCAGGGGCCAUUGGUUUUGUUCACUGCUAUCUCUCCAGUGCCUGCAAUGGUGUCUGGCACGUGCCAGUGCUCAGGAAAUGUUUGUUCUAUAAAUGAAUGCCACACACACUUGCACACACACACACAGACACACAUUCCAUGAUUAAUUACCCCACCCUCACCCCCCCCACCCUGGCGCUCUGAGUUCUCUGAGGCCCUGGAGGGAGCGGCACCUGGAGGUCUGUCCCUCUCUGACCAGGUGAGCCCCUCGAACCCAUUGUCCAGGCAAGGGAGGGUGGGAGGUGGCCCAGGGAAGCAGAGCUUUGGGAAGCAGCAGCUUUGAGCCUAUGUGUGGAAGGUGAGCGGGGAUCCUGGUGUUCUACAGGAAGAACCUCCCGCGGGGGCCACAGCACCAUGCUGAAAUUCUGAGUGGGAAAAGGUCUGGCUGGGUCCAUGUCAUGGGUAAUCCCUUUUGGGAGAAAGCCCGGGUUUCCCACAGGCUGAGCCUGGCUGCAACAAAUUGAGACCUAUGAGUAGAGCAUGUGGUGGCCGCAGAGCCCAUGGGUGGGUGGUCAGGGAGUCCUCCCUGGAGGAGAGGAACCUUGUCCAGGUGAGAGACAAGAGGACCAUCUGGGAACAGGACUGAAAGGGGAAUCUGAAGCUGUUGGUGUGAUUAUUUCAGGACUGGCAAGGAUGCAUCAGAUCUGUUUUAGGAGUUCAUGACACCCUCCAGAGUGAGGCAGAGGCGCACCGGGCAGGCUCACACACUAGGGAUUGGGCAGGCCCAAGUUGCAGCCACAGGGGCUAUUGAGGGGCCAGAGUGAAGCCCCUGAUCAUAGCCUGCAUCAGACCACUCAAGAAUGAGGUGCCUGGGGGAACAGGCAGGUGACGGAGGGGACCAGAGACAGACAGGGGGCCAAUGGGAGGCCAAAAGGAUAGACUAACAGAUGGACUGAAAGAUGGAGGAAGACAGAUGGACAAACAGACUAACAGAUGGACAGAAAGGCAGAGGAGGACGGACGGACAAAUGGAUAGACGGAUGGACAAAUGGAUAGACUCACAGAUGGAUCAAAAGGCAGAGGAGGAUGGACGGACAGACAAAUGGACAGACUAACAGAUGGACUGAAAGAUGGCUGAGGACAGACAGACAAAUGAAUAGACUAACAGACCGAAAGGUGGAGGAGGAUGGACGGACAAACGAAUAGACUAACAGACAGACCGAAAGGUGGAGGAGGACAGAUGGACAAAUGGAUAGACUAACAGAUGGGCUGAAAGGCAGAGGAGGAUGGAUGGACAAAUGGAAAGGCAGAAAUGGGUGGAUGAAGGAAUGGACAUUUGGAGUGGGGAUGGAUGGAGGUUGGAGAGGCAGGGAGAGAGGGCUGCUGGACCUUUAUCCCCACAGUCACCCUCAGGAGCCUUAAGACCCAGCUACUCCCACUCCAGAACUCCCACCCCUGCACAUCCCCGGGCCAGGCUCCAGGGAAGCCAACGCCUGCUUGGCCUUGUGCCCAGAGAUGCACAUUCCAGCCAGGUAUGAUCCUGCUGCUGUUACUACUGCAAGCCCAGAUGUGGAAUCACCUCCAGAUGUUCUCACCAUAGCAGCUGUGCCUAGGAUGGGAUUGGGGUAGGCUGUAUCUACGGACUAAUACUCGUCAGCCCUCCAGCACCUGGGGAGUGCCCCAAUCAUGGCAGACACCUGCACCACGCACACACACACACACACAUACAAUGGCUGAACCACAGCCCACAGACACUCACUGACACACACAAAUGGGCACAGUCACUAAUGCCCAGACACCAGGCCCCAGAUGCCACAGAGAUGCCAUGUUGCACAACUCCACAAUGAGCCAGUCAUGUGGUCUGCAUUGUAUGGGGUAACCUGGACCCUCAGACCCACCCAACACUCAUGCUGUCAUUAACUAGCCAAGGCUCACUGAACAGCUCCUGGACCAGGCCUCGUGGGAUGACAGGAAAGUCACCUUCAAUCUCUGGAUAUUUGAAGUUGCACCUUCAAGGGCUCCUUCCAGAGGAU
rnacentral:lncRNA from 10 species